UCUGCCACUCCUGCUGACCUUGAGAAGACUGGUAACCUACCUGUGACUCCUCGAUUGAUCCUGCUUGGUCCAAGUGAUACUCAAGGGCAGUGGAUGAAACAAUGGAUGAUCAGCUUGGAGGGCAGAAUAAUCUGCGAGGGUGUGCAACCAACCUUUCUCUGUGGACUUGCUGCUUUGUUUUCACUGUAUUACAUCUUCAACCUGCAAUAUCAAGAGGAAGCAGCAUCCACACUGGAAUUCCUUCAAAGACGAUUUGUUGGAAUAAAUCCGGAAAAAGGGACCAAGGCUGCAAAAGGAAAAGUGACAUCUAAAAAGACUGGGAAAUCUGUUCAAAAGAAGACCAUGACAGUCAAUCUGAAAGUGUCAAAUCUUUUAAAAAGAUUGAUGGAC